rnacentral:rRNA from 1 species
AGAGUUUGAUCAUGGCUCAGGACGAACGCUGGCGGCGUGCUUAACACAUGCAAGUCGAACGGAAAGGCCCUUCGGGGUACUCGAGUGGCGAACGGGUGAGUAACACGUGGGUGAUCUGCCCUGCACUUUGGGAUAAGCCUGGGAAACUGGGUCUAAUACCGAAUAGGACCACGCGCUUCAUGGUGUGUGGUGGAAAGCUUUUGCGGUGUGGGAUGGGCCCGCGGCCUAUCAGCUUGUUGGUGGGGUAAUGGCCUACCAAGGCGACGACGGGUAGCCGGCCUGAGAGGGUGACCGGCCACACUGGGACUGAGAUACGGCCCAGACUCCUACGGGAGGCAGCAGUGGGGAAUAUUGCACAAUGGGCGCAAGCCUGAUGCAGCGACGCCGCGUGAGGGAUGACGGCCUCCGGGUUGUAAACCUCUUUCAAUAGGGACGAAGCGCAAGUGACGGUACCUAUAGAAGAAGCACCGGCCAACUACGUGCCAGCAGCCGCGGUAAUACGUAGGGUGCGAGCGUUGUCCGGAAUUACUGGGCGUAAAGAGCUCGUAGGUGGUUUGUCGCGUUGUUCGUGAAAACUCACAGCUUAACUGUGGGCGUGCGGGCGAUACGGGCAGACUAGAGUACUGCAGGGGAGACUGGAAUUCCUGGUGUAGCGGUGGAAUGCGCAGAUAUCAGGAGGAACACCGGUGGCGAAGGCGGGUCUCUGGGCAGUAACUGACGCUGAGGAGCGAAAGCGUGGGGAGCGAACAGGAUUAGAUACCCUGGUAGUCCAA